rnacentral:rRNA from 1 species
GACGAACGCUGGCGGCGUGCUUAACACAUGCAAGUCGAACGGAAAGGCCCUGCUUUUGUGGGGUGCUCGAGUGGCGAACGGGUGAGUAACACGUGAGUAACCUGCCCUUGACUUUGGGAUAACUUCAGGAAACUGGGGCUAAUACCGGAUAGGAGCUCCUGCUGCAUGGUGGGGGUUGGAAAGUUUCGGCGGUUGGGGAUGGACUCGCGGCUUAUCAGCUUGUUGGUGGGGUGGUGGCUUACCAAGGCUUUGAAGGGUAGCCGGCCUGAGAGGGUGACCGGCCACAUUGGGACUGAGAUACGGCCCAGACUCCUACGGGAGGCAGCAGUGGGGAAUAUUGCACAAUGGGCGGAAGCCUGAUGCAGCAACGCCGCGUGCGGGAUAACGGCCUUCGGGUUGUAAACCGCUUUCGCCUGUGACGAAGCGUGAGUGACGGUAAUGGGUAAAGAAGCACCGGCUAACUACGUG